rnacentral:SRP_RNA from 1 species
CCCGACUUCCCACGCGGCGCCGUCUUCCGGAAUCCCCCAGGGCCUGAUCGCAGCAAGGGCACGGGAGCUCCGGCGGGUGCGUGGGAAGUCCUUUAU